CAUGGGUACUUCCGGUUAAUUUUGUUUACACUGGUAACAAAAUUGUUUUUGACAAAAUAUAGAUUUUGCGGCACAAACUGUCGCAAAUCAGAUAAAGGAUAGCAAGGGAUAUAUAUUUACUUGGGAAGAUGUCAAAGUUUACCUUUUCCCAAACCCGGGAAAAGCGUUCACGCAGAGGAAACGAUGGUGUCAUUUGUGUAGAAAACCACGAGCAGCCGAAAUUGAGUGCGAUUAUUACAUUCCGUGAAAGCUGAACCAACAAAGAAACAUCAUUGUUCUAGCCAGUUUGCUUAUAUUAACUUUUAGGAAAACCAAGAGGUUGAUAACAAUGGCUGAUCUGCAUAUAAUGACUGCUAGUUAUUGGCUGGUAUGCAGUGAAAGGGAGCUAAAAAGGAGUAAAAAGUUCAUAUCAGCCAGGUGAGAAUUAAUUUCUUCUUUUUUGUGUGUUAUACAUAUGUAAUUCUUUUCUUUUGCUGCUUCAAAUCUUGUGUAUUUGAAAAUUUUCAGUCUAAUAUUUGGCAAUGUUAUAGGUAGUGUGGU